GAUGAACGCUAGCGGCAGGCUUAACACAUGCAAGUCGAGGGGUAUUGGUUUUCGGACCAAGAGACCGGCGCACGGGUGCGUAACGCGUAUGCAAUCUACCUUUUGCAGAGGGAUAGCCCCAGAGAAAUUUGGAUUAAUACCUCAUAGUAUAGUACUUUGGCAUCAAGGAACUAUUAAAGUCACAACGGCAAAAGAUGAGCAUGCGUCCAUUAGCUAGUUGGUAAGGUAACGGCUUACCAAGGCUACGAUGGGUAGGGGUCCUGAGAGGGAGAUCCCCCACACUGGUACUGAGACACGGACCAGACUCCUACGGGAGGCAGCAGUGAGGAAUAUUGGACAAUGGGCGCAAGCCUGAUCCAGCCAUGCCGCGUGCAGGAUGACGGCCCUAUGGAUUGUAAACUGCUUUUAUACAGGAAGAAACACUCCGACGUGUCGGAGCUUGACGGUACUGUAAGAAUAAGGAUCGGCUAAACUCCGUGCCAGCAGCCGCGG
rnacentral:rRNA from 1 species